UUCGAGUUAAGUCACUCUUUUUUCACGGGGCUUAACUCGAACUUUCCAAGUUGUGUUUCUUUCUUCGAGUUAAGCCAUUGACGACAAUGGGUGUGGUUUAGGCGUGGUCAGGGCUUAAUAACUCGAAAGGCUUAACUCGAAGAUUACCUACCUCGAACAAUGAUUGGUCUAAAUGGAACCUACUUCAUGUACGCUUAUUAUUUUGCCACGGG